ACAGGGAACAGCCCUUCAUCCUCCUCAAACCCCACAGGGAACAGACAGGGAACAGCCCUUCAUCCUCCUCAAACCCCACAGGGAACAGACAGGGAACAGCCCUUCAUCCUCCUCAAACCCCAGAGGGAACAGCCCUUCAGCCUGUCAAACCUCACAGGGAACUGGACCCUCAGCCCUUCAGCCCAUCAGCCCUCACAGGGGAUGGUGGUUCUCAAAAAGUCCUCUAAGGAGCAGGGCUGCGACCACAGGGUGACAGUAGGAGUUUCCCAUUCCAUUAAAAUGCCUUUCCACUGUCUGAAACAGAAACUCGUGCUGAAUGGUAAAAGGAUCAAAACCACCUCUGCCCUUUGCUGUUCUCCAGCCUGUUUGCUUUUAGUAUUCAGCCCAGCACUGACACAGAAUGGGAGGAUUUCCCAAAUGGCUUUGUUACAACAUUAAGCCUGGUAACCUACCCUGGGUUGCUCCUGAGCAGAAAAUAAGGAGCUUGAAAGAAAAACAUUGAUUUCCAAGGGCGGCCUGUUCCAAGGAUUGUUCCUGCACUGAAACAAAGCCUGUGAAAACACCAGUUGCCAGUCAUUCCCUAAGUUACUGUUUCCACAGGGAAUGAUCUUGCCACAUCAGAGCUGCGGAAAGGUCACGCCGAAGUUACUUUCUCGCUGAUACUUUGUGGAUGUUCCUCCAACCCAGAAGUACCGAGGGGCCACAGCUCACGACAGUCACGAGGUGAGCGUAACGCGUCAGAUAUUCCCACAAACACCACGUCCUUCCCGAUUUUCUGUCAACCUGUUUGAUUGUGCCGUACCCGGGGAACGUGUGACAGAAUUAAUCAUCCUGCUGGGCUGCACACCGAGGGAAGGGAGCAGCCGAGCUUUGGCAAGGCUGUUGUUAGCACUGAGAAACUGCGACAAAAAAGAGGCAGACUGCAAGCCAGACGUGUGUCAGUCACCGAGUGAGACACGCUGUGAUUUAUCAACGUAACAACAGUUGACGGGAACAUGGAUCUCCCAUUUCAAAGUGUUGUCUCUGUGUCGAUUAAGAGUAGUAUCUGUCAUCAGGAAACAAUGGGAAAAGAAAUAUGUUUGAUAAAAGCAAUCCCGUGCUCUCCCGGAGACAGAAACCGCUGUGUCGUUGGAAUGGAAGUAAAGGAUUUCUCUGCAAGUUCCAUCCCGGGCAGCAAAAAGAAAAUGUGUUGUGACAAGAGGAAGUGCAAAUAAUUAAUAACAGAGGAUCAAAUGAAAGGAGUGGCUUUGCAAGGAGUGACUAAUGCUGAGUGUGUUCCAGCAAAGCCCGGAUUGCACUGUGGACAGAGGAGCUCUCGUGGCCCGGGCGCACAGCGGGCAGGGCCCCGGCCCCGCGGCUCCACGGGGCAGCUCCCCUUUCAAAGGCAGGGCUGCUUUUCCUCCGAGCUCCCCAGCUGCUGCACACGGGGUCCCCAGCACUGCAGCACUCUGGCUGUUGUGUACACUGAGAGCAACACCAGAGCAUCAAACAUGGAACAAGCUCGGGAGCGCUUUGCCAGCAGCUGAUUACAGUGGGAAGCGCAUCUCAAAGCAGCAGGGCAGCGGAGUGAAACAAAAGCCACGGAGCCAGUGCUGCCCUGUUGUUUGGCACAUCCUUGUGCUUCCCUUAAUUCUGCCUCAGAGCUUGCAAGGGAAGGCCAAAGCUUCUUAUUUGCUAAUUAAGGUUCCACCCAAUUCAAACACCCAACAAAGGACAUCCCCAAACAGAGGAACCUGCCAGCCCUCCUGGCCCUGCCAACAGGCUGAUGUCUCAGUUCAGUGCUCUCCCAACACAGAGAGUGAAAGAGCCCUGGACAGGGGCAGAUCCAACUGUGUGCACACACACAUUGUUGUGCUGGCACACACCUCUGAUUGGGAUCCAAAGGCUCCAGCUCCCUGGUUUUGUUGUGCACACUCCAGACACCCCACAGACAGGGGUAAAACAGAAAGACAUUGAAACAACACAGCUCUAUUUUAUGGUGUCAAAUGGCUAAUGACAGUAAUUAAGGAUUUAAAAGGCCUUUAUCAAGGGGCAUUAUCUAAGAUACCAUCAUGCCUGUAAUCAGUCAGGGAAGAAUUGCUUGAUCAAGCCAAGAAGGCAACAAAAAUAGCCCAACCUCUUGCCAUCUGCUCCAGCCACCACAUCCCACCCCACUGCCUGAAUGCAGCAGUGAGUCACAACAGGACACAGAUGAGCAGGUUGUGUCCCUGUCAUUUCAGCUGAACGUGCAGGGGCUGUUGAAGUGUUCCAGUGGGCUCCCAAAACAAAACCUGUAUCGUUGCUGGACCAGUAGCUCCAACAGCAUUUUGCCUUCCCCCUUUUGUGGAUUCAUUGUGCCUGUGCAGCAAGGGUGCACGUUGCAAAGUGUGGAGGAAGCUGAUAAUGCUCUUUCAGUUCCUGAGGACUUCAAGCAGCUUAAAAAAGUUUUUUGACAUGAGCAAACACCAUCAAUAAGCUCAUGAAGAGCUGGCUG